CCUACGGGAGGCAGCAGUAGGGCAUAUUGCUCAAUGGGGGAAACCCUGAAGCAGCAACGCCGCGUGGAGGAUGAAGGUUUUCGGAUUGUAAACUCCUUUUGUUAGAGAAGAUAAUGACGGUAUCUAACGAAUAAGCACCGGCUAACUCCGUGCCAGCAGCCGCGGUAAUACGGAGGGUGCAAGCGUUACUCGGAAUCGCUGGGCGUAAAGAGCGCGUAGGCGGGAUAGCAAGUCAGAUGUGAAAUCCUAUGGCUUAACCAUAGAACUGCAUUUGAAACGGGUAUUCUAGAGUAUGGGAGAGGUAGGUGGAAUUCUUGGUGUAGGGGUAAAAUGCGUAGAGAUCAAGAGGAAUACUCAUUGCGAAGGCGACCUGCUAGAACAUAACUGACGCUGAUGCGCGAAAGCGUGGGGAGCAAACAGGAUUAGAUACCCGUGUAGUC
rnacentral:rRNA from 1 species